rnacentral:rRNA from 1 species
GACGGGUGAGUAACGCGUGGGUAACCUGCCUUAUACAGGGGGAUAACAGUCAGAAAUGGCUGCUAAUACCGCAUAAGCGCACAGAGCUGCAUGGCUCAGUGUGAAAAACUCCGGUGGUAUAAGAUGGACCCGCGUUGGAUUAGCUUGUUGGUGGGGUAACGGCCCACCAAGGCGACGAUCCAUAGCCGGCCUGAGAGGGUGGACGGCCACAUUGGGACUGAGACACGGUCCAGACUCCUACGGGAGGCAGCAUG